GAUGAACGCUAGCUACAGGCUUAACACAUGCAAGUCGAGGGGCAGCAGGGAGAAAGCUUGCUUUCUUUGCUGGCGACCGGCGCACGGGUGAGUAACGCGUAUCCAACCUUCCCCCUAGUAGGGGAUAGCCCGGCGAAAGUCGGAUUAAUACCCUAUGUUCUUCGCAUGAGGCAUCGAAAGCGAAGCAAAGGAUUUCCGCUAAGGGAUGGGGAUGCGUCUGAUUAGGUUGUUGGCGGGGUAACGGCCCACCAAGCCCGCGAUCAGUAGGGGUUCUGAGAGGAAGGUCCCCCACAUUGGAACUGAGACACGGUCCAAACUCC
rnacentral:rRNA from 1 species